UACGUAGGGCGCAAGCGUUGUCCGGAAUUAUUGGGCGUAAAGAGCUCGUAGGCGGCUUGUCACGUCGGGUGUGAAAGCUCGGGGCUUAACCCCGGGUCUGCAUUCGAUACGGGCUGGCUGGAGUGUGGUAGGGGAGAUCGGAUUCCUGGUGUAGCGGUGAAAUGCGCAGAUAUCAGGAGGAACACCGGUGGCGAAGGCGGAUCUCUGGGCCAUUACUGACGCUGAGGAGCGAAAGCGUGGGGAGCGAACAGG
rnacentral:rRNA from 1 species